rnacentral:rRNA from 1 species
CGAACUGUGCGAACGUUAUUCGGAAUCACUGGGCUUAAAGGGUGCGUAGGCGGCUGCCUAAGUCAGGUGUGAAAUCUCUCGGCUCAACCGGGAAACUGCGCUUGAUACUGGGCGGCUUGAGUGAGGUAGGGGUGUGUGGAACUUCCGGUGGAGCGGUGAAAUGUGUAGAUAUCGGAAGGAACGCCAGCAGCGAAAGCGGCACACUGGGCCUUUUCUGACGCUGAGGCACGAAAGCCAGGGGAGCGAACGGGAUUAGAUACCCCGGUAGUCCUGGCCGUAAACACUGAACACUCGAGGAGGGGGGCUUCGGCCUUCUUUCUCUUAGCGAAAGCGUUAAGUGUUCCGCCUGGGGAGUAUGGUCGCAAGGCUG